rnacentral:tRNA from 1 species
GUUCCGGUAGCUCAACUGGUAGAGCAGCAGCCUAUUGAAGCAGCAAGUAGUUGGUUCAAAUCCAUCCCGGAACACCA